ACGAGUGGCGGACGGGUGAGUAGUGUCUGGGAAACUGCCCGAUGGAGGGGGAUAACUACUGGAAACGGUAGCUAAUACCGCAUAACGUCGCAAGACCAAAGAGGGGACCGUUAGGGCCUCUUGCCAUCGGAUGUGCCCAGAUGGGAUUAGCUAGUAGGUGGGGUAAAGGCUCACCUAGGCGACGAUCCCUAGCUGGUCUGAGAGGAUGACCAGCCACACUGGAACCGAGACACGGUCCAG
rnacentral:rRNA from 1 species